CUGCAUGGCCGUCGUCAGCUCGUGUCGUGAGAUGUUGGGUUAAGUCCCGCAACGAGCGCAACCCUUGUCAUUAGUUGCUACGAAAGGGCACUCUAAUGAGACUGCCGGUGACAGACCGGAGGAAGGUGGGGAUGACGUCAGGUCCUCAUGGCCCUUAUGGGUAGGGCUACACACGUCAUACAAUGGCCGGUACAGAGGGCUGCCAACCCGCGAGGGGGAGCUAAUCCCAGAAAACCGGUCGUAGUCCGGAUCGCAGUCUGCAACUCGACUGCGUGAAGUCGGAAUCGCUAGUAAUCGCGGAUCAGCUUGCCGCGGUGAAUACGUUCCCGGGUCUUGUACACACCGCCCGUCACACCAUGGGAGCGGGUUCUGCCAGAAGUAGUUAGCCUAACCGCAAGG
rnacentral:rRNA from 1 species